rnacentral:lncRNA from 1 species
CUAGCUUUAAGGCUAACUUGAAUCUAAUAGCUUAGAAAUUGGAUAAAGUCAAUCUUCUUGUCCAGAAGUUAGAUCAAGUCCUAGCCCUAGGUCAACAAUCUCCUGUAUAAUACACAUCACCUUCUAAUUAUCAAGAGAUUUAUUUUAUCUGUGCCAGCCCAACCCAUCAUGUGAGUAAAUAUCUCACGGCUGCACAGCUUUCACCUUUCAUCCAAAAAUAAGUCCAAGCUACAUAAGGCUACUCAAAGUCAGUUAAUGAUCCAUUCUCGAAUACAUAUAACCA